rnacentral:rRNA from 1 species
GUAGGCUGCAACUCGCCUACAUGAAGCUGGAAUUGCUAGUAAUCACAGGUCAGCAUACUGUGGUGAAUACGUUCCCGGGCCUUGUACACACCGCCCGUCACACCAUGAGAGUUGAGAAUACCCGAAGUCCAUGUCAAAGUGGCCGAAGGUAGGCUUGAUGAUUGGGGUGAAGUCGUAACAAGGUACC